CGCUUUGCUCAGCCAGUGUAG
rnacentral:miRNA from 6 species